UGGACCCAGACUGAUCAAGCCUUGAAAAGAACCUUGGAAAUUUCACCCCCACGCACAGCCUCUGGGGAGUGGAGAGGGGCUGGAGAUUGAGUUAAUCGCCAGUGGCCAAAAUUAUGCCUAUGCAAUGAAUCCUCCAUAACAACCCCUAAAUGAAGGAGUUUGGGAAGCUUCUGAAUUGGUGAACACAUCCCUGUGCUGGGAGAAUGGCAUAUCCCAACUUCAAAAGACAGAGGCUCCUGCACUUAGGAUACCUCCAGACCUUGCCCUGUGUACCUCUUAUCUGGCUGUUCAUUUGUAUCCUUCAUAACAAACAAUAAUAAUAGUAUCUUAUUCUGAAGUACGGACUUCUAAGACCAGUGAGUGAGAGAGUUGUGGAACAUGGGACAAUGUUUUAGACGGGCUGCAGUGAUGACAAGCUCUUAGCCAUUCUACUAACUAUUCAGGAAGCCAGAAGAGGGUCUAACUGUCUGACCUCCAGGCCUGCAGAACUAUUUGUAAACACGCAUCAAUAUCAACUCAUUUCGAGCAAGAAGCUGAACCUUUCCUGGAGUAAAUCACACUGUGAGGUUUCCCAAUGCAAUUCUGUUUCCCUAUGAAGUAUGGAUUCAAAUUAUGCACGAAGGACGUACACCUGAAUUCAGAAUCACUAAACCUCAGAUUUUCUAAGAUUUGCAGUUAUUUAGGCAGUUUGGUUUAUCUUAAACUACAACCCAAGGUGGGUUUUCUUACAAAGCCUGUUAAAGCGGAAUUUUCUACUAGUUUUAGGAAAAUGAGCUACAUAGAAAGCACUCUUAAGAGAACCUCUUGUCAACUGAAAAUAAUAAUAUUCACCUGUUAUUAGCAUACGGUGCGCACUGCCAUUUCAAAACUGCCAGUGACUCAUGUUACAAAUGAAGCUAUUUUUAGGACAGUGCACGAAUGAUGUUAACAAUAUUCCUUGAAAAAGGCACUAUUUGAUCAAGUAUUUCAUGGAUGGAAAAGAUGCAUAGAUUCUAUAGAUGGAAAGAUGGAUAAAUGCACUUGUUAUAUCCUAAAAUUACUCUUAGUAAAACGCGUUCAUUUGGCUAUCUGCAUGUCCUUGCUUUUUGCUCGGUCAAUAAAUCACAUGGACGUCAAAAAAGGAAUCUGCCUUAUAUGAAACAGCUACAUAUUUAUAAAUUUUAAAGCCACCCUAGAGGUUAUACAGCACAUUUUAUGUCAAGUUUAGGGCAUCAGCAUUCUCUAUCCACUUGAGCAAUCCUAUUUGCACUAAGGAUUCUUUUGCAAUGGCUACGAAAUUUUAACAACUAUAUUCUAAACAAAAGUUAUCAAAACUAAAUGUGAGUAAGCAAAAGCCAAAAACACGACUACCAUUUAAAAUAAGCUGAUUAAAGAUUUAUUAAGAGGCUGCACAAAUCAGUAGUGGGGAAACUAUCCUUAGAAAUUCUGUGGCCGGCAGCCAUGGGAGCACCACCUAUUCGAAACUUCCUAAUAAGCAUACUUUAUUAUUAUUAUUAUUAUUUUGUUUCCACCGCGAAUGACACAGUCUAUUGGCCAUUUUUCUCAUUUGUCUUUUUGGGAAAACUUAUAGCUUUAGAUGAAUGCCUGGACUGUCCCCCUACACUGAACUGGGACACCAGAGAAAAGCAUUACAGUUGACUGACACCCGGAUUACUGGUUCGUACUAGAAGUGCUGACGCAACCUUCAAUACACCAGGACACAAAAGGCAUGGUUCUGCUUUCGCUUAAAACCAUAAAGCAGGUUAUAAGCAGCAAACAACGCAUAUUUGGUACCAAAAUUAAAAUGCAGCUUUAAAAAUAAUGGCUGAGGGGAAAGUUUCCGUAGGAACUGGGCCUAAUUAGGACAUGCUGUCGUCAGUAGAAACAUUCCUGAAAUUUCCCUUCUGUAAAUACAAGCUCAUCUCUUCAUAGUAGUUUUAAUUCUAAUUAAGACAAAGGUUUUUAAUUAAGCCCCGAAGAUCCUGGGGAAGGGCCUUCAGUAAAACUGUCCUUGGUGGCUCCUCCCGAGGUAAUUCAUUUCAAGAGACAAUGAAGUGGAUCUCUUAAAAUCUUCAGAGAAGACAUUUCCCUCUCUGCUUUCUGCUACUCCACACAGCAAACAGACUGAGAAAAGCUGCCUGCCCUCUGGAACAGGCAAGAGAAGCAUUGCUCGCUUCAAUUCAAGCUUCCCUCUUCAUUUCAAAACAUUUGUGGAUAGAAGCUUCAAGUUCACAGAACAUUUUAAGAAAGCACAUUUUGUGAAGUGGGGGAGAUAGAGCAAUUUUCCAUAUUUUGUUUCCUUUCCUCCUGCACCCCCCACCCACCGCCUUGGAGAGGAAAAAUGAACUGCUACUACAUAAAGAAAGUCAAGAACUUGUUCCAGUUAGCCUCAAACAAAACCAUCUCUAUGCCUCCCACGUCAUUUGCUCACCAACUACACUUUUUUCUGGGAUGAAAACUAUCUUAAGCAAAACAGAACUGAAGCUGAUUUUCAGGAACCCAAAUAGAAAUAAAUGCUGUGGUUAUGAGUUUCAGCAGAAGGGUAGGAUAACGGGCUUGGGGGGAAAAAAAAUCAGAAACUGUCCCUGCCUCCAAUUUCUACCUCGUAGAGACCUCUUAUCUCUACAUUUGCUUGAAGCUUGAGUCUCCCUAUUUCCUUGCCUGGGGGGGGAGUUGCGGGGGAAGCUGAGAUAAAUGGGUAUGGAGGCAAUUAAGGAGAGAUUAGCAAACACUGCGCACUGCUCAACAAACUCGGGUUGGCUUCUCCCCAUUCCCCACAUUCCUGGCCAAGAGAAAAGGAUACGGGUCUGAAAAGAAAAGAGGAGUAGAGGCUGGUUUCUCUAACCUAUCUGAAAAGUCUUUAUGCAAUCAGGGGGCUAUUAUUUCAGGAGACAGGAGAAAGGGGCAAAAGAUUCCCGUUGCUAAGGAGACAAGCUGAAGCUGGCAUUCCUACAUAAAUUUCCAUUUCUAUUGGAGAGGGGAAAGAAAAGAUAUUUUCUCCAAAGUUUAUUUGGAUCCCCUGGUUACUGAAGAAAGGCAUUUUACCAAUUUAUUUUAUCUUUAGUUGUAAACAACCAACCCUGAAAGAAUUAAAAGACCUAAAUGUUGACCUCCUGCUGCCAACCAGUCCCCUCCACAGUGAAUUAAGCAACAAAGACGAACCCCGUCAAUGGGAAUUUUGAAGUAAAAUCAAAGAAGAGGCCUUUUGUAAACAGAAAAUCAAAUUUAUGAAAGAAACUUAAUCAAGUGAACUAAUCUUUCUUGAAACAAGAAACCAAGACAAAAGUAAAUCAGGUUUGUGUGGCAUUUGUGCUAUUUCAACUUUCUUGGAACUUGAAACGUCUCCAGUAAAGCUUCAUAAAUAGUCCCAGAGAAGACAAACUGUCACGAAGGAAUUUAAUCAGUUUCUUAGGGGUACGCGUGGGUAAGUGUAAAAUCACGGGCAGGUCCUCUCCCUUUAUUCCCCUUUCUCUGCACUGACACCAGCAGCUGAAUAAUCAAGAUUAGCGAGGAAAAGGGUUUACUGCAAGAAAUCGGAAAUUGGCAGAUUUCUGCUAACGGCGGCGUAACUGGGACGCAGGGGAAGGCAACUGGGGGUCAAGGAGAGAGUAAAGCCCCCCCUUGGGGCUGGGUAGCCCCAGUGACUACCUUCUUCUCCACCCUCCACCCCAUCCGUUUGCAGCUUCCAGUGCUAGCUGAAUAAGCCACAACUUUCCAGGCAUCUGUGAGUAAGUAGCUCAUGGAGAAAGGAAAGGUCUGAAGGAGAGAGGAGGUAUUUGGAGAGGAAGAGAAAGAAGGGCAACUCACAACCAACGACGUGUCACCAAAAAAGGAAAGGAAAUUACUCCUGUCUCUGUUCCAACUCUCCAGAUCCCUCAAAAAUUUAAGGAAAUAAAACCCAAACCGAAACUCCCCGGGGAAAACCGAGACAAAGUGGAGUAGAGCAGGCAGAAACGUGGGCACCAAGAGGUAAACUCAGGCAAAUUCCUCCUUGAGAGAGGAGGGAGAAGAGAGCGGGGAAGACCGAGCAGAGGACCCGGGGCGUCUUGGUGGAGUUGGGGCGGUUUUGCCUCUUUCUUAACGUGAGUGGGGAAGGCGUUGCGUUUUUAACGCAGCCCCACGGCUCUCGCCUCGAAGGGUAUCAAUUAGCCCAAACAGCAUACGUGUUACUCCAGAGCCCGAGGAAUGGCCACGGGAGGACGGAGAGGGCGCGGGGCGUCGCACUGGGUCUGGCGACCAGGACCGGGGAGAGACGCGGGCCGGCUAUCAGGGAGGCGGCUGUAGCGCAAGGGUCCGCGAAGGGCCAGAUGGAGCGGCGCGGACGAGGGUAGGCGCACAGAAGGUGGGGAGAGAGGCGGUGGCCGUCCGGGCGGCGGGGCACCGGGCCGUCCGGGGCGGGGGGCGGGAGUCGCGGCGCGCCGGGCUCUCACCG